rnacentral:rRNA from 1 species
UGGGGAAUAUUGGACAAUGGGCGCAAGCCUGAUCCAGCCAUGCCGCGUGAGUGACGAAGGCCUUAGGGUUGUAAAGCUCUUUUGGCGGGGACGAUAAUGACGGUACCCGCAGAAUAAGCCCCGGCUAACUUCGUGCCAGCAGCCGCGGUAAUACGAAGGGGGCUAGCGUUGUUCGGAAUUACUGGGCGUAAAGCGCACGUAGGCGGAUUGUUAAGUCAGAGGUGAAAUCCCGGAGCUCAACUUCGGAACUGCCUUUGAUACUGGCAAUCUAGAGUCCGGAAGAGGUUAGUGGAAUUCCCAGUGUAGAGGUGAAAUUCGUAGAUAUUGGGAAGAACACCAGUGGCGAAGGCGGCUAACUGGUCCGGUACUGACGCUGAGGUGCGAAAGCGUGGGGAGCAAACAGGAUUAGAUACCCAAGUAGUCCCUGAGCGGGCUGGCAAGGCGCAU